rnacentral:rRNA from 1 species
CAGUAGCCGCGGGAAUACGUAGGUGGCAAGCGUUGUCCGGAAUUAUUGGGCGUAAAGGGCUCGCAGGCGGUUUCUUAAGUCUGAUGUGAAAGCCCCCGGCUCAACCGGGGAGGGUCAUUGGAAACUGGGAGACUUGAGUGCAGAAGAGGAGAGUGGAAUUCCACGUGUAGCGGUGAAAUGCGUAGAGAUGUGGAGGAACACCAGUGGCGAAGGCGACUCUCUGGUCUGUAACUGACGCUGAGGAGCGAAAGCGUGGGGAGCGAACAGGAUUAGAGACCCGAGUAGUCCCUGUCUCUUAUAU